GUCUCUGCUCUAAAGCCCACUGACCCCAAUCGUAGAAGACUACGAGGAAAACACAAGCUCCUACACUGGAAUCGGGUGAUAGGGAAGAAGAUAAUGUCCACCUCUUUAAUCCAUGGCUGAAUUAUCACAGAGCACCCAGUAAAUGUUAGUAUGUUUGGAAUGAAGGAAUGAAUGAAGGAAGGAAGGAAGGACGGACGUAAGUGGAGCCUGAGAAAGGUCUGCCUGUGAACAAGGAGCUGGAAGAACCCC
rnacentral:lncRNA from 1 species